GGGAGAGGGGAAAGGCCUAAAAGCCCCAGAAGCUCAGGACGCGGGGCCGAGGCUGCCCGGCACAGCCGCAGAAACAGGAGAGCGGAAGGCGCCAUCCCGCCAGCCGGGGAGGGGCCCUGGGCCCCGAGAGGACCACAGCCGACGGGGAUUUUUCAAAGCCCGAAGCAAACAGAGCCCUCAUGGAGAAGUGGAGGGUGUUCAGACACGGCUAUGAGGCCCUGAGAAGUGAAAUGAGCCCAAGCCCUUGCCCAGUACAUUGGGCACAUCCUUUGGGGCCCUUUAACAAGUGAAUUGUUCACUUCUCACCUCUUGGGGAUCUGUCCCACCUGGGCCAAGAAUUUUCUAGAGCCUCUUGCGAUGGUCAGCAAUGUCCCUGAUGUGACCAGGAGUUAGGGAUUUCUGCAAAGACAAAGCAGGAAGAGCCUGGCUGCCUUGUUAGGAGGAACAGUAGGAAAAGGAAGGACAAGAUGGUAGUCUGUCACACGCAUGUCCACGGCUGUGCUGUGCUUGGAGCACUAAGGUUCAUGGUAGUUACUAGGGCCACCUAGGACGGUACAGUCCACUUUCUCUUUGAGUCAUGAAAAAGUGCCCAGGUGACAAGUUCAGCCUGAGGAGAGCAUGUCUAAGAAGAGACCAAGUGGCACUUCCUGUGGCCUCACAAAUGGCCAUACCCUGUGACAGCAAGCCAGGGCCGCAGACUGGAACCAAGGCACGGUCAGUCACUCAGGGGGAGGGGGAGGCGCAAAUCAACCAAGUGAGGAAGGAAAGGGGGAAAAAAGAGGCUGGAUGGACAUUCCUGGCCCACAGAAACAGAGCAGCUUUCCUUAGUGUGUUAACAGUAGCUGCGAGUCUAGCUUACAGAGGGUGAUUUCUCCAACUGCCUGUGAAUAAGGGUCAUUUUUCCUGAAAAAUGCACAAGGGUUCAUUUUCAGCUGUUAAAGAUGAGCCAGUUUUCUCGCUAAAGCAGGGAUCUGGUCAGCCAUUAACUCAGUUACCCCGGGGUGAGGGGGAAAUAACUGGCCCCAAUUCUUUCCUUUUCUAGCAUUUGGGAGAAUGAAGGAUUAGGUAAAAUGCGUUAUUUCCUCCCAUUCUCCACUGUGGGCAGGAGUUCACAUAUCAGUUAGAAACCAUUUUUGAACAGGAAGACCAAGUAAAUCCAGAAGGGAUUUACUCAUGGGGCUCCCUUUUUACUAGAAAAUGAGUGUUAUUAACUAAAAAUCGAUGCUUUCCUCUUUCUCCAUUCUCCUCCCUUCCUUCCCUCCCCUCAUCUCCCGCCCACUGCUGUGGUGGGAAAUGACUGUGGUGAGUGACAUUUAAAUCGUGAGCAAGGUUGGACGCCUCCAUGUCCCUUAGAUGCCCCCGAGGGUAGAUCACAGCACUUCUAAAGGCCGUAUCCCCACAUGAAAUAAUUUGAAUUUUCUUAGACUGCAGAAUGUCUCGCAUUCCUGAUGACGGAUUGGGGAGCAUGGUGGGUCUGAGAGUUGCAAAGGCUCCAUUAGUUCAGUUGAUCGUUCCCGUUUGCAACGUGGUCUUCCACUAAGUAUUUGUUUUCUAAAAAUCUAUUCCCUUCUGGGGAUGUUUUUUUUUUCUCUCCCAGCCCUUUUAGAAAACUGAUGCGAACAGAUUUCCCGUCCAUUUUCAUAGGAAGUCUUUGUUCCUGUUGGCAGGAGGCCUUUGUCGGGAGGUAGUGGGACACAGGCAGUGGGCCCCUGCAUGACUCUGCCCUUCCAGAAUGCAGAAGCCUUCCACCUGCGAGUCUGGAUCUCUCCCCACCGCUCUGAGAUGCUCGCCACUGCCACUGCGAUGCCUCUUGCCGCUGCUCAGGUCACAGAGAUGGAGCUGGCCAGGUUCCCCGCUGGUGGUCAGUGACAAUGGUGCGACCUGGAGGUGACAUUAACACCUUCACGGCUACAGAGUUUCCUUAGCAGAGCUGUGGAGUGUGACAAUGGUGUUUGUGUCCAAACUAUCAAACGCCAUUAUCACACUAAAUAGCUACUGCUAGGCAAUCCUUCCGCUCCCUAAAUGUCUUGGCAUCUGCUUGGUGUGGACAAGAAAGUUCGACUGGUAACAGUGGCCCCAAUCAAGUGUGUCCUCACUGAAUAAGGUCUGGUCGUCUUGUGCUCGUGACCAACAUGUCUAUGUGAACCCUGACUCACACGUGCUGUUGUUAACCACUUUGGCUGGCGAUGAAUUUUCUUGUUUUCUCAAGUCAAUAAAAAGUUUGCCAAGGGCCCCAGAGGACCCAGCAUAAAGCUAG